UUUUAGUAGGGAAGAAGCGAAAGUCGACGGUACCUGCAGAAAAAGCACCGGCUAACUACGUGCCAGCAGCCGCGGUAAUACGUAGGGUGCAAGCGUUGUCCGGAAUUAUUGGGCGUAAAGAGCUCGUAGGCGGUUUGUCGCGUCUGCUGUGAAAUCCCGAGGCUCAACCUCGGGCUUGCAGUGGGUACGGGCAGACUAGAGUGCGGUAGGGGAGAUUGGAAUUCCUGGUGUAGCGGUGGAAUGCGCAGAUAUCAGGAGGAACACCGAUGGCGAAGGCAGAUCUCUGGGCCGUAACUGACGCUGAGGAGCGAAAGCAUGGGGAGCGAACAGGAUUAGAUACCCUGGUAGUCCAUGCCGUAAACGUUGGGCGCUAGAUGUAGGGACCUUUCCACGGUUUCUGUGUCGUAGCUAACGCAUUAAGCGCCCCGCCUGGGGAGUACGGCCGCAAGGCUAAAACUCAAAGGAAUUGACGGGGGCCCGCACAAGCGGCGGAGCAUGCGGAUUAAUUCGAUGCAACGCGAAGAACCUUACCAAGGCUUGACAUACACCGGAACGGCCAGAGAUGGUCGCCCCCUUGUG
rnacentral:rRNA from 1 species